AACGAACGCUGGCGGCAUGCCUAACACAUGCAAGUCGAACGAGACCUUCGGGUCUAGUGGCGCACGGGUGCGUAACGCGUGGGAACCUGCCUUUAGGCUCGGAAUAACUCAGAGAAAUUUGAGCUAAUACCGGAUGAUGUCUUCGGACCAAAGAUUUAUCGCCUUUAGAUGGGCCCGCGUUGGAUUAGCUAGUUGGUUGGGUAAAGGCUUACCAAGGCGACGAUCCAUAGCUGGUCUGAGAGGAUGAUCAGCGACACUGGGACUGAGACACGGCCCAGACUCCUACGGGAGGCAGCAGUGGGGAACAUUGGACAAUGGGCGAAAGGCUGAUGCAGCAAUGCCGCGUGAGUGAUGAAGGCCUGAGGGUUGUAAAGCGCUUUUAACCGAGAUGAUAAUGACAGUAUCGGGAGAGAAAGCUCCGGCUAACUCCGUG
rnacentral:rRNA from 1 species